AUUGAACGCUGGCGGCAUGCCUUACACAUGCAAGUCGAACGGUAACAGGUUAAGCUGACGAGUGGCGAACGGGUGAGUAAUGUAUCGGAACGUGCCCAGUCGUGGGGGAUAACUGCUCGAAAGAGCAGCUAAUACCGCAUACGACCUGAGGGUGAAAGCGGGGGAUCGCAAGACAUCGCGAGAUUGGAGCGGCCGAUAUCCGAGUAGGUAGUUGGUGGGGUAAAGGCCUACCAAGCCUACGAUCUGUAGCUGGUCUGAGAGGACGACCAGCCACACUGGGACUGAGACACGGCCCAGACUCCUACGGGAGGCAGCAGUGGGGAAUCUUGGACAAUGGACGCAAGUCUGAUCCAGCCAUGCCGCGUGCGGGAAGAAGGCCUUCGGGUUGUAAACCGCUUUUGUCAGGGAAGAAAAGGUUCUGGUUAAUACCUGGGACUCAUGACGGUACCUGAAGAAUAAGCACCGGCUAACUACGUGCCAGCCGCCGCCGUAAGAC
rnacentral:rRNA from 1 species